AUACGUAUGGUGCAAGCGUUAUCCGGAUUUACUGGGUGUAAAGGGAGCGCAGGCGGCGCGGCAAGUCUGAUGUGAAAGCCCGGGGCUCAACCCCGGUACUGCAUUGGAAACUGUCGUGCUAGAGUGUCGGAGGGGUAAGUGGAAUUCCUAGUGUAGCGGUGAAAUGCGUAGAUAUUAGGAGGAACACCAGUGGCGAAGGCGGCUUACUGGACGAUAACUGACGCUGAGGCUACGAAAGCGUGGGGAGC
rnacentral:rRNA from 1 species